AGAUUUGGAGAACUUGUUUGAAUUUCUGAGCACGCCCUUCUCUAUAAGGAGGGGUGGACUGUUCUGCGGCCAGUCCCCCAAAACUAGCUCACUCUUAGCUCAACACUUCACUUUUCAAUUUGUUGCGGAAGACAAAUGAGCUGUUGGGAAGUUUUUUUUUCUCCUUUCUUUCCUUUUUUAAGUCGCUUCUUCUUUCUCGCCUUCAUGUGGUUGGAAUAAUGUUUCUGCGUAACUCGAUGCAACUGAACCAAGCGAAAUGAACCGAAAAUUAGCGGCAAUUUUAAAUGAGGGCGAGACGAGGGAUGGCUGGAUAUUCCCGAGGAGUCGAGAGAGAGCCUUGCACAUGUUUGAAGAACUUGAUUUUUGGAUGCUUUGCGACGUGGGGAGUGUUCCAGUUAAAUCAGCUGUUUACAGUAUACUGUCGUAUGGCAUACAUUUGAUUGUAGGGAAGAGUGUGCGACGACUGCAGCCUGACAACUGGAAGACGUGAAAUGGAGCUACCUGGGAAUUCCUCUCAAUGCUGCUCCAAGUGAGGAACCAAGUGCCCCCAAGUAAAAAAGCAGAUGACAUCGAAAUUUGAAGGAAAGAAUGCAGCAACACCUGGAACUAAUAGGCAUUUAAGGUGGAGGUCUCCUGCAGGUGACACAACGGCAGACAUGACUCUGACAGCAGCGAAUCAGAUGGGCACUGAAUGUGAUGCUGGAUUCCUGCAGAGACCAAGACAUUUACAUUCUACUGGGCCUCGUGUCACUGAAUGCUGUGAAAUAUAAAACAUACUUUUGUAUAGACUGCAUAAUUAUUUCAGUAUGAGCUUCUGUAAAUAUAUUCUGGAUAUAUAGAGAAUAUUGAAACAUAUAUAUAGCAUAUAAACUGUAUAUUUUAUGUAUAUAUUCAGUAUAUGUCUAUUUGUAUAUGUAUAACAAGUUAACUCUAAUAAACUAUUUUAUUGAAUGAA